CAGGUUGAUUGUGCUUGGAUUUGGUCUUUAAAAGUGCCUUUUAUGAGUCAGAACCUCCUGUUGGAGACUGAUUUGGAAUCAGCUGCCUUGCAAAGCUUUAUUGGCCCAUUGUAAUAUAAUACCUGCCAAUGAUCAGUUAUGUGAUUUACAUGCUAAUCAAGGUGGAGGAUUGUGCUCAUCCUAUCAUUCACUGCUGUUAUGCUCAACUAUGCUGGUAGCAACAAAGCUACAUGUAUUGAGUGAAUUUUUAUCUUAACUCAUUGGCGGUACUUAUUGAGCACAUUUCGAAUGCCUUGAUAGCAACGGAAUAGAGGCCACUCUUGGCAUAUGCA
rnacentral:lncRNA from 1 species